rnacentral:rRNA from 1 species
AUGUGUAUACGAAAGAAGAAGGGAGGUAUGGGCUUUAGGAAUAUCCAUUGUUUUAACCUUGCACUUUUGGCAAAACAAGCUUGGCGCCUCAUUGACAAUCCAGACUCACUAUGUGCAACCAUUUUAAAAGCCAAGUACUUCCCAAAUGGAGAUCUUAUGAGUGCGACUUUGAAGAAAAAAUCAUCAUAUACUUGGCAGAGUAUAAUGGCUGGUGUGGACACACUGAGACGUGGGUAUAUUUGGAGAAUUGGAGAUGGUGAAAAGGUGAAUAUAUGGGAGGAUUCGUGGAUCCGUCAAUCACCAACGAAAAAAGUUCUAACUAUAAGAGGUAACAAUUUAAUCUCCCGAGUCUGUGGUAUCAUUGAUCCGGCAACUGGCGACUGGGAUUCACAAUUGGUUAAUCAAAUGUUCUGGGAAGUGGACGCCCACAGGAUACUUGCUAUACCCUUGCCUAUACAUGAAAUGACGGAUUUCAUUGCGUGGGAUCCCACCAAGAAUGGAAUUUUUUCGGUCCGAUCCGCUUACCAAAUUGAAUGGAAUGCUCAAUUUGGUCACCUGCUGCAAACUGGAGCGGAAUCUUCAUAUCUGGACGAGAAGUGGAAUUUGCUAUGGAGCUUACAAUGCCCAGCCAAGAUCCGAAUCUUUAUUUGGAUAGUUCUCCAUAGUGCUAUCCCGUGUAGGGCGGUUCUGGCCUCGAAGCACAUAAAAGUGAAAGCACAUUGUCCAGAAUGGAAUAUGGGACAGAUAGUAUCAAACACUUCCUUUUUGAAUGCCCGAGAUCAAACGAGGUGUGGCGACAAUUGGGGUUGA